rnacentral:rRNA from 1 species
CGUAGGGUGCGAGCGUUAAUCGGAAUUACUGGGCGUAAAGCGUGCGCAGGCGGUUUUGUAAGACAGAUGUGAAAUCCCCGGGCUCAACCUGGGACCUGCAUUUGUGACUGCAAGGCUAGAGUACGGUAGAGGGGAUGGAAUUCCGCGUGUAGCAGUGAAAUGCGUAGAUAUGCGGAGGAACACCGAUGGCGAAGGCAAUCCCCUGGACCUGUACUGACGCUCAUGCACGAAAGCGUGGGAGCAAACAGGAUUAGAUACCCUGGUAGUCCACGCCCUAAACGAUGUCAACUGGUUGUUGGGUCUUUACUGACUCAGUAACGAAGCUAACGCGUGAAGUUGACCGCCUGGGGAGUACGGCCGCAAGGUUGA